GACGAACGCUGGCGGCGUGCUUAACACAUGCAAGUCGAACGGAAAGGCCCUGCUUUUGUGGGGUGCUCGAGUGGCGAACGGGUGAGUAACACGUGAGUAACCUGCCCUUGACUUUGGGAUAACUUCAGGAAACUGGGGCUAAUACCGGAUAGGAGCUCCUGCUGCAUGGUGGGGGUUGGAAAGUUUCGGCGGUUGGGGAUGGACUCGCGGCUUAUCAGCUUGUUGGUGGGGUAGUGGCUUACCAAGGCUUUGACGGGUAGCCGGCCUGAGAGGGUGACCGGCCACAUUGGGGCUGAGAUACGGCCCAGACUCCUACGGGAGGCAGCAGUGGGGAAUAUUGCACAAUGGGCGGAAGCCUGAUGCAGCAACGCCGCGUGCGGGAUGACGGCCUUCGGGUUGUAAACCGCUUUCGCCUGUGACGAAGCGUGAGUGACGGUAAUGGGUAAAGAAGCACCGGCUAACACGUG
rnacentral:rRNA from 1 species